rnacentral:rRNA from 1 species
AUUGAACGCUGGCGGCAUGCCUAACACAUGCAAGUCGAACGAGUGGCGGACGGGUGAGUAAUGUAUGGGAACCUGCCUGGUGGAGGGGGAUAACUACUGGAAACGGUGGCUAAUACCGCAUACUAUCGGAGGGGCCGAGAUGGGAUUAGCUAGUUGGUGGGGUAAUGGCUCACCUAGGCGACGAUCCCUAGCUGGUCUGAGAGGAUGACCAGCCACACUGGGAAUGGUACACGGGCCAGACUCCUCCGGGAGGCAGCAGUGGGGAAUAUUGGACAAUGUGCGCAACCCUGAUGCAGCCAUGCCGCGUGUGUGACGAAGGCCUUCGGGUUGUAAAGCACUUUCAGCGGUGAAGCGGUAGCUGCAGAAGAAGCACCGGCUAACUACGUGCCAGCAGCCGCGGUAAUUC